CAUUCCUUCAUCCAUGAAAAACAGCCUCACAGUCACAGACAGCUGGGCAGGAACCAGCUGACCGUUACCAUGACGACGCCUUUUCACCGUCCUAACAAUGAGUGUUGGUUUGACCCUUUAAUCCACACUGAGACACUGUCCUCAGUCUGUCCUCAGUCUGUCCUCAGUCUGUCUUCAGUCUGUCUUCAGUCUGUCCUGUUAUGGUUCUUUUAUUUUGAAGUGUUUGCUUUCACUGACGUGUGCUUUACUGCAGAGGGGGCGUGGCUAACACCUGACACACCUGAGCUUCAUUUCCACUGAACUAGUCAGGUCCUCAGGGUUGUCCUCAUGUCCUCACUGUGGGACAGUCCAGAGCUAAAAGGGGACUACGCCAUCUGCUGUCGUAGUUUGUAACUGCACCUUGGAUACGCAGCACGUUCCGUGACGUGUGACGUCACAGUCAGACCCGGGAAAAGAUCAACUGUGGAGACAUCGAUGAUGUCACAGAAAACUUCUGACAACACACGAGGAAGAAUGAUGAUGACACACAAUGACCCGUUACCUGGACAACGACUGCACGUGUCGCUCUGGAAGGGAAAGAUGACUCCACCCCCUCUGCAGAACUCGCAGAUAAAACCUCGAGCCAAACAAAGCUGAGAGAAAAACACAAGAAGAUGAAAGAGAGACUAAAUGAUUAUCUGAUCCACUCUCCAGUCCAGUAGGGGGCAGUGUUGCACCAGUGUUCGUACUCACGAGGCUCCACCUCCGUUCCACAUCCUGCACACAGGAAGUGUUGUGAGGCCAUGACGUCGCUGCGUCUGCAGGAGGAAACAUGGUCGACAGAGAGCUGCGCAGACUCUGACGUCCACGCCGAGGUUCAUGGGAAGGUAGCCACGCCCUCCUGAACUCCAGCACCAGCUGCUGUGCCAACCACUCUGCACUGCAUUAUGGGAUACGAUGAUGAGGUCACUCAGAGAGAGAGACACGGUAUGUAUGUCUGUCUGUCUGUCUCACCUUCUCAGAGAAUCUGGUGGCAUCAACUUCACGACUUCUCCACUCUCUGACACAGAAACACAGAUGAAGAUGAUGAUGAAGAUGAAGGUCAGGAAUGUUCUGACCACACAUGUUCAUUUGUUUGUGUGUAAAUAAAGUUGCGUUGAACCUUCAAA